rnacentral:tRNA from 1 species
UGGCUCAGUUGGUAAAGAAUCUGCCUGCAAUGCAGGAUACCCAGGUUCAAUCCCUGG